rnacentral:rRNA from 1 species
GAUGAACGCUGGCGGCGUGCCUAAUACAUGCAAGUCGAGCGAACGGACGAGAAGCUUGCUUCUCUGAUGUUAGCGGCGGACGGGUGAGUAACACGUGGAUAACCUACCUAUAAGACUGGGAUAACUUCGGGAAACCGGAGCUAAUACCGGAUGAUAUUUUGAACCGCAUGGUUCAAAAGUGAAAGACGGUCUUGCUGUCACUUAUAGAUGGAUCCGCGCUGCAUUAGCUAGUUGGUAAGGUAACGGCUUACCAAAGCAACGAUGCAUAGCCGACCUGAGAGGGUGAUCGGCCACACUGGAACUGAGACACGGUCCAGACUCCUACGGGAGGCAGCAGUAGGGAAUCUUCCGCAAUGGGCGAAAGCCUGACGGAGCAACGCCGCGUGAGUGAUGAAGGUCUUCGGAUCGUAAAACUCUGUUAUUAGGGAAGAACAUAUGUGUAAGUAACUGUGCACAUCUUGACGGUACCUAAUCAGAAAGCCACGGCUAACUACGUG